UGGGGGGAUAACAGUUGGAAACGACUGCUAAUACCGGCAUAAGACAAGCACUAUGGCAUCAGAAGACUGUUAAAAGGAUCCGUUUGGAUCGCUAAAAGAUGGGGAUGCGGCGUAUUAGUUAGUAGGUGAGGUAAUGGACUCACCUAGACUAUGAUACGUAGCCGAACUGAGAGGUUGAUCGGCCACAUUGGGACUGAGAUACGGCCCAG
rnacentral:rRNA from 1 species